GGAAUAUUGGUCAAUGGACGAGAGUCUGAACCAGCCAAGUAGCGUGCAGGAUGACGGCCCUAUGGGUUGUAAACUGCUUUUGUCGGGGAAUAAAGUGGCGUACGUGUACGUUUUUGUAUGUACCCGAAGAAUAAGGACCGGCUAAUUCCGUGCCAGCAGCCGCGGUAAUACGGAAGGUCCGGGCGUUAUCCGGAUUUAUUGGGUUUAAAGGGAGCGCAGGCGGGCUUUUAAGCGUGACGUGAAAUGUGGCGGCUCAACCGCCGAUCUGCGUCGCGAACUGGGGGUCUUGAGUGCGGACGAGGUAUGCGGAAUUUGUGGUGUAGCGGUGAAAUGCUUAGAUAUCACGAAGAACCCCGAUUGCGAAGGCAGCAUGCCAGGCCGUAACUGACGCUAAUGCUCGAAGGUGCGGGUAUCGAACA
rnacentral:rRNA from 1 species